rnacentral:ncRNA from 1 species
UAGGAAAUUUGAGAGGGGCUGUCCUUAGUACGAGAGGACCGGGAUGGACGCACCGCUGGUGUACCAGUUGUUCCGCCAGGAGCAUCGCUGGGUAGCCAAGUGCGGAAGGGAUAAGCGCUGAAAGCAUCUAAGCGCGAAGCCUGCCUCAAGAUGAGAUUUCCCAAUUCGUAAGACCCCUGGAAGAACACCAGGUUGAUAGGCUCGGGGUGGAAGCGCGGCAACGUGUGCAGCUGACGAGUACUAAUCGGUCGAGGGCUUAUCCUA